UGGGGAAUAUUGGACAAUGGGGGCAACCCUGAUCCAGCCAUGCCGCGUGAGUGAUGAAGGCCUUCGGGUUGUAAAGCUCUUUUGGCGGGGACGAUGAUGACGGUACCCGCAGAAUAAGCCCCGGCUAACUUCGUGCCAGCAGCCGCGGUAAGACGAAGGGGGCUAGCGUUGUUCGGAAUUACUGGGCGUAAAGCGAGUGUAGGCGGUUGCCGUAGUCAGGUGUGAAAGCCUUGAGCUCAACUCAAGAAAUGCACUUGAUACUGGGUGACUAGAGGACCGGAGAGGAUAGUGGAAUUCCCAGUGUAGUGGUGAAAUACGUAGAGACUGGGAAGAACACCAGUGGCGAAGGCGGCUAUCUGGACGGUUACUGACGCUAAGACUCGAAAGCGUGGGGAGCAAACAGGAUUAGAUACCCUGGUAGUCCACGCCGUAAACGAUGGGUGCUAGACGUUGGCGAGCUUGCUCGUCAGUGUCGCAGCUAACGCGUUAAGCACCCCGCCUGGGGGAGUACGGCCGCAAGAUUAAAACUCAAAGGAAUUGACGGGGUCAUAGCUGUUUCCUG
rnacentral:rRNA from 1 species